rnacentral:pre_miRNA from 1 species
GAUAUUUGACAAUGACGACAUAUGUGACAAUGACGACAUAUGUGACAAUGAAUUCAUUGUCACAUAUGUCGUCAUUGUCACAUAUGUC